AAAUCUUCACCUUCUGUCAAGGGAUGAUCAUCAUACAGAUUUAUGUGGAUGACAUUGUCUUUGGUGACCCGUUGACUUGCACACAUGUCAGACUCCUUGGUAUGUGUUUCAAGAGUGGAUGAUUGCACCAGAGCGAGGUUGCAUAGAUUUGUACUAGUUGACACACCCU
rnacentral:sRNA from 1 species